UUAUUUAAAUCAAAUGCGAUUUAUAGAUAACGGUGCUCAAGUUCACUUAGGGUUUAUAUAAUCUGCUAAGGAAAAUGCCCAUAGAUUUGACGGACGCAUCGUUAUCGGGUGAUUGAAUUUCAAUUUUAGCAGCCAUUUCCAUGAUAUUUUUGUUUGGAAUGGUAAGAGGGUCUCCUUUUGUUUAAGUUUUGUUGAUUUCAAGCUUAGAUGUAUGUUAAUAUUCUUAUUUGAAUUACAUGCAUAUAUUGUACAUAAACUAUCAUGGCUUUGUAUUGCAGGAGCACACAUAGUUAUCUGACUAUUAGUACCUCAACCGCUAUCAUAAUUGAUAAAAGUUCUAUUGAGGAGUGAGGACACAGUACGGGCGGACUUUAACAUCAGUUUCCCAUUGUUAUCAUGUGAAUUUACAUUUGUGGAUGUGAGUGAUGUGUUGGGAACAGCAUGCGCUUGUGGUUGUACAUUUUUUUUGCCCCUGGUGCCACUGGAGUAACCUUCUGAUGGAUACUGAAGGUAGCAGUUGUUAAU
rnacentral:lncRNA from 1 species